AUUGAACGCUGGCGGAAUGCUUUACACAUGCAAGUCGAACGGCAGCACGGACUUCGGUCUGGUGGCGAGUGGCGAACGGGUGAGUAAUGUAUCGGAACGUGCCCAGUCGUGGGGGAUAACGUAGUGAAAAUUACGCUAAUACCGCAUACGAUCUAUGGAUGAAAGCGGGGGAUCGCAAGACCUCGCGCGAUUGGAGCGGCCGAUAUCAGAUUAGGUAGUUGGUGGGGUAAGGGCCCACCAAGCCAACGAUCUGGAGCUGGUCUGAGAGGACGACAGGCCAACCUGGAACUGGGACACGGUCCAGACUCCUAGGGGAGGCAGAAGUGGGGAAUUUUGGACAAUGGGCGAAAGCCUGAUCCGGACAUUCGGCGUGCAGGAUGAAGGCCCUCGGGUUGUAAGCUGCUUUUGUACAGAACGAAAAGGUUUCUACUAAUACUAGGAGCUCAUGACGGUACUGUAAGAAUAAGCACCGGCUAACUACGUGCCAGCAGCCGCCGUAA
rnacentral:rRNA from 1 species